rnacentral:tRNA from 2 species
GUCAGGAUAGCUCAGUUGGUAGAGCAGAGGACUGAAAAUCCUCGU